UACGUAGGGGGCGAGCGUUGUCCGGAUUUAUUGGGCGUAAAGAGCUCGUAGGCGGUUUGGUAAGUCGGGUGUGAAAUCUCCACGCUCAACGUGGAGGGGCCACUCGAUACUGCCAUGACUCGAGUCCGGUAGAGGAGUGUGGAAUUCCUGGUGUAGCGGUGAAAUGCGCAGAUAUCAGGAGGAACACCAAUGGCGAAGGCAGCACUCUGGGACGGUACUGACGCUGAGACGCGAAAGCGUGGGGAGCAAACAGG
rnacentral:rRNA from 1 species